GACGAACGCUGGCGGCGUGCUUAACACAUGCAAGUCGAGCGAUGAAGUUCCUUCGGGAAUGGAUUAGCGGCGGACGGGUGAGUAACACGUGGGUAACCUGCCUCAUAGAGGGGAAUAGCCUUUCGAAAGGCAGAUUAAUACCGCAUAAGAUUGUAGUUUCGCAGGAAACAGCAAUUAAAGGAGUAAUCCGCUAUGAGAUGGACCCGCGUCGCAUUAGCUAGUUGGUGAGGUAACGGCUCACCAAGGCGACGAUGCGUAGCCGACCUGAGAGGGUGAUCGGCCACAUUGGGACUGGGACACGGCCCAGACUCCUACGGGAGGCAGCAGUGGGGAAUAGUGCACAAUGGGGGAAACCCUGAUGCAGCAACGCCGCGUGAGUGAUGACGGUCUUCGGAUUGUAAAACUCUGUCUUCAGGGACGAUAAUGACGGUACCUGAGGAGGAAGCCACGGCUAACUACGUGCCAGCCGCCGCGGUAA
rnacentral:rRNA from 1 species